rnacentral:misc_RNA from 1 species
GAUGAAGAACGUAGCAAAAUGCGAUAAGUAAUGUGAAUUGCAGAAUUCAGUGAAUCAUCGAAUCUUUGAACGCACAUUGCGCCCGCUGGUAUUCCGGCGGGCAUGCCUGUUCGAGCGUCAUUUCAACCCUCAAGCCCCCGGGUUUGGUGUUGGGGAUCGGCUCUGCCCUCUGGGCGGUGCCGCCCCCGAAAUACAUUGGCGGUCUCGCUGCAGCCUCCAUUGCGUAGUAGCUAACACCUCGCAACUGGAACGCGGCGCGGCCAUGCCGUAAAACCCCAACUUCUGAAUGUUGACCUCGGAUCAGGUAGGAAUACCCGCUGAACUUAAGCAUAUCAAUAACCGGAGGA